rnacentral:rRNA from 1 species
GACGAACGCUGGCGGCGUGCCUAAUACAUGCAAGUAGAACGCAGUUGCGAACGGGUGAGUGACGCGUAUGUAACUGGCUCGUAGCGGGGGAUAACUAAUUGGAACGAUAGCUAAUACCGCAUUCAUUGUGAUGGAUCUGCUUUGUAUUAGCAAGGUGGUGAGGUAAAGGGUCACCAAGGCGACGAUACAUAGCCGAUCUGAGAGGGGGAACCGUCACAAUGGGAAUGAGAAAAGGCUCAGAAUGCUGAGGGAGGCAGCAGUUGGGAAAUUUUGGAAAUGGAGGGAAGUCUGAAUGAACAAAGCCGCGGGAGAGAAGAAGGUUUUCGGAUCGGAAAGCUCUGUUGUGCGAGAAGCGUUAACUAACCAGAAAGGGACGGCUAACUACGUGCCAGCAGCCGCGGUAAUUC